GCAGCUCAGAAAUCGCUAUGGCUGAGUGAGGUAUUGUCACUGAAAAGAUAGAUGGGGUGUUAUGAGCCAUAACCAUGGCUGAGUGAGAUGUUUUAACUGAGAUCAAUACGCUGGUUGAGAGAUUGAAACUAAAAAGAUAUACAGGAAUUGUGUGACAGGAGAACUCUUGUGCAACACCACUUCUGUGUGACAGAUUGUUAUAAAAUUAAGAUGUUGGAUGGGGAGGGUGUCGGAGAGGUAUACCCUCCUGCCAAGCGAAACCCAUGGCAGCGCCCUCCCUGGCGGAAUGCGAGAUUAUGACUGAAAAGAUUAUUGGACAGUUGCGGACCGACACCAUGGCUUUGUGAGUGACCGUGAAUGUAAAGAUUAAGAAGUAGGACGUGGAGGGCGCGGGAGGGCUAACUCCUCCUGAUAAGCGAAACCCUGGCGGCAACCCCCUGGCGGAGUGCGAGAUUAUGACUGAAAAGAUAAAUGGACAGUUGCGGUCUGACACCAUAGCUUUCCAGCCUGGUUGCUGAAGCCACAGAGGUAUUUUCAAGGAAAAGUACCAAUGCUGAUCAAAACGUUGUCUUGUGAUGGAAUUCCAUACCCGUUCUCGGCAUGGUCUUUUUAGAAAGGAAAAUCGUCUCCAAGUUAGAAAGAAUUCUAAAUUAGCAUGUGCCAAUAAGCUGCAGUUUGCUGCGGCUUUUCGUCCUUGGCAGUAGUCCUGCAAUCUGAGUCCAGGAGAUGCAGCUCUGAAUCCAAUAUUUCAGAUGAAUGAACAUAUCGGGAUCCAUCACUUCAGUACCGUAUUCAUUUGAAAGGUUUUAUCCAGGAUACCAGAGUGGCAUCUGGGAUUGAACACUUCAGUACCAAUGUCACCAAUAAUGUUUUAUCCAGGAUACCAUAUUGGCAUCUGGGAAUGAUCACUUCAGUACUGUAUUCAGUACAGAGUGGCAUCAAGGAUUGAUCUCUUCAGAACCAUAUCCACUAGUAAUAUUUUAUCCAGGAUACACGAGUGGCAUCAGGGAUUGAUCACAUCAGUACUGUAUUCACCAGUAACGUUUUAUCCAAGAUACCAGAGUUGCCAUAUGGGACUGAUCUCAUCAGUACCCUAUACCAGAGUGCAUUAUGUAUUUUGGAAUCGAUGACUUCAGUACAGUAAUCAUCAAAAAUAUUUGAAAUAAGAGACAAGAAUUGCAUAUGCAUCUCAAAGUGUUCUAAAACGAGCAUCAUAAACUAUAAUGAAUAUCCUUUUUAUUUUAAUUUACAAGUUAAGAUGGUUGAAUUUUAUGAAAAAACUUCAUUAAAACACUAGUGUUGUUUUUUGAAAGUGUUUGUAGAAUAUCUUUAUUUCCUUUACUUGACAAAUCUUUCUUAUCAUAUUAUAAAUAAUUGAAAUUGUUUUUAAACAUCUUGCAGAAUUUUUUUUGUCAGUAUCGUAGAAUAAACAUUUUGAUGAUUUUGUACCAUAUGAUGGCAUAUCUUCUUUAGUUGAUAAAGCAGGUCCUGAUUCUAUGAUAUUUCCAACUUCCAUAGAUAUAUGUUAAAUUUGUAGAUGUAUAUUAGCACAAAAAAUCAAGUUAUUGUAUGCUCAUUUUUGAGUCGUUUAAAAUAAUGUGAAAUCGUUGUAUAUAAUGCUUGAACUUACUGUGUUAGCCCAGGCACAGAUUCAGCCCUGGGCUUCAGGGCUGAAGUCCAUCCCCCCACCCCCUCAGCUUGACUCGAAGAUUUGCUUAGGGGAGGGCUAGUCUUUUACUUGAUUUGGUGGAUUUGUCAAUUUACUUGCAGAGUAUUCCCUUAUCACUAGAUCAAUACAUUAUGGUUUAUUACAGUCAACUGGUCAGUAGGCAGUGGGCCGAUUAACCCUUAACAUAGGGGGUGGGCAAUUAACUAUGUCGUUCUGAACAAUUAAGUGUAUUGGCAAAGGAUAUACAUUUUGUAAUUUUAAACUGAAUGAGCUAAUGUAAGCAUAAGUAAAGUACAUUCUUGUUCUGAUUAUGUUGUGAACUUUUAAACUGCUUUAUUGUGAAUAUAAUUCUAGUUUACAACAUAUAUCAAUUUAUAUCAAUAACUAAUGUUUUGUUGAAUAAUCUAUGUGCUUGUUUUUUUUAAAAUGUUAUAGAUGUAUUGUUGUUGAAUGUUUAUAAUUUAGUUUAAUGUCUUUUACUUUAAAUAAGUAAAUAUUUUCAUACUUUCUGCAUACAUUGUUAUAUUCAAUGAUCAUCAGAUGGAAUGGUGCUAAUAACAUCAACUUUUCCGGGUUAUUUGCAGAACCUUAAAGAGACUUACAGCAGAUUUGCACCCAAUUAUUUUUUCUGUAACGAAUCUCAGGACUAUUAUCUAAUAGAAUGUGUAACGCUUAGAUCACAAUUGUAAAAAAGUACUAAAAUGUAAAACAAAAUUGUGUCGGAGACUGGGUUCGAACCCGUGUCGCCAAAAUUGCAAUCUAGAGUCGUAUCCACUGAACCACAGCGGCUUAAUUUCUAGGGGUGACAUAUUUAAGCUAUACACCUACCUCGGUAAUAUCAGGUGGUAACAGCGACUAGCCAAUCAC